AUUGAACGCUGGCGGCAGGCCUAACACAUGCAAGUCGAGCGAGCGGCGGACGGGUGAGUAUUGUAUGGGGAUCUGCCCGAUAGAGGGGGAUAACUACUGGAAACGGUAGCUAAUACCGCAUACUAUCGGAUGAAUCCAUAUGGGAUUAGCUAGUUGGUGAGGGAAUGGCUCACCUAGGCGACGAUCCCUAGCUGGUCUGAGAGGAUGAGCAGCCACACUGGGACUGAGACACGGUCCAGACUCCUACGGGAGGCAGCAGGGGGGAAUAUUGCACAAUGGGCGCAAGCCUGAUGCAGCCAUGCCGCGUGUGUGAAGAAGGCCUUCGGGUUGUAAAGCACUUUCAGCGAGGAGGCGUUACUCGCAGAAGAAGCACCGGCUAACUCCGUGCCAGCCGCCGCGGUAAUUC
rnacentral:rRNA from 1 species